rnacentral:rRNA from 1 species
CCUACGGGGGGCUGCAGUGGGGAAUAUUGCACAAUGGGGGAAACCCUGAUGCAGCAACGCCGCGUGAGAGAUGAAGGCCUUCGGGUCGUAAAGCUCUGUCCUAAGGGAAGAAUACUGACGGUACCUUAGGAGGAAGCCCCGGCUAACUACGUGCCAGCAGCCGCGAUAAUACGUAGGGGGCUAGCGUUAUCCGGAAUUACUGGGCGUAAAGGGUGCGUAGGCGGCCCUGCGAGUCAGAGGUGAAAGGCUACAGCUCAAACGUAGUAAGACUUUGAAACUGUAGGGCUUGAGUGCAAGAGAGGAGAGUGGAAUUCCCAGUGUAGCGGUGGAAUGCGUGGAUAUUGGGAGGAACACCAGUGGCGAAGGCGGCUUUCUGGGCUGUAACUGACGCUGUGGCACGAUAGCGUGGGGAGAGAACAGGAUUAGAUACCCUUGUAGUC